UCGCGGCGGUGCGCGCAGAAGGGUCUGGGCUCGAGCCUGCCUGGAGCCGCCGCCGGUGCAGAUCUUGGUGGUAGUAGCAAAUACUCCAGCGAGGCCCUGGAGGACUGACGUGGAGAAGGGUUUCGUGUGAACAGCCGUUGCACACGAGUCAGUCGACCCUAAGCCCUAGGAGAAAUCCGAUGUAAACGGCGUUGGGAAAAAUUGAUUGAUUCUGAAAGAAAGAAGCCCACUGAUCGGGCGAAAGGGAAUCCGGUUCCUAUUCCGGAACCCGGCAGCGGAACCGUUGUUUGUCGGGCCCUCACAAGGGGUUCGUCAGGGCAACCUAAAAGGGCCCGGAGACGCCGUCGGGAGCCCCGGAAAGAGUUUUCUUUUCUGCAUGAGCGUUCGAGUUCCCUGGAAUCCUCUCGCAGGGAGAUAGGGUUUGGAACGCGAAGAGCACCGCAGUUGCGGCGGUGCCCGGGAAUCCCCGACGGACCUUGAAAAUCCGGGAGAGGGCCACGUGGAGGUGUCGCGCCGGCUCGUACCCAUAUCCGCAGCAGGUCUCCAAGGUGAAGAGCCUCUAGUC
rnacentral:rRNA from 1 species